UACGUGAGGGGCGAACGUUGUUCGGUGUCACUGGGCUUAAAGGGUGCGUAGGUGGUUGCGUAAGUAAGGUGUGAAAUCCCUCGGCUUACCCCGGGGGAAUUGCAUUUUUAUACUGCGUGGCUUGAGGACUAAAGGGGGAAAAAGGGAACUCCAGGUGUAGCGGUGAAAUGCGCAGAUAUCUGGGGGAAGGCCGGCGGCGAAGGCGCUUUUCUGGUUAGUACCUGACACUGAGGCACGAAAAGCGUGGGGAGCAAACAGG
rnacentral:rRNA from 1 species